UGGGUUCAAGCUGUAGGAAGUGCUCUUAUAACCUCUGGAAUGUCAAUAACAAGACUCUUGGAAACAUUUAUUCUUGCAAGGGAUCAGGAUAAGUGCUCCCUGUCAUCAGUCCUGUUGUGGCUUUGAGACAGAUCCUGCUUCCAUUGAAAUCAAUGGUCCAAGCUGGAGCAGCUGGUUGAGUUGACACUGACUGCUCCAACCCUCCCAGACCCUGCCAGGAACGUGUGAUGGCAGGACAAGAGCCCAGGCAGAGUAUUUCGUAGGCAGGCUAACAUCAGGAUAUUACAUUGGGUGGGAAGUACUGCAAACCCUUUAUAUAGAGAUGUCAAAGUCUCAGCGGUGAUGAACUCUUCCCCCAUCAAAUAUCGCAGAAGAGUGCACAGUGAAGAAAAGCAUUUGUAGAUACUUUUUAAAUUCAAUAUUAGUUUAUUGAAGUAUAAUAUAUACUCUGCCAAUGAACUAUACAUGACUGUUUCUGACAGUCAAUUAAAAUCAAUGGGCCAAAUUCUGCCCUCAGUUACACUAAAGUAAAUCCAGAGUAACAACUCUGUUGUAGUAAAUGUCGCUUGUCUUCUUAGAAUGUAAGCUUAUC